rnacentral:rRNA from 1 species
UAGGGAAUCUUCGACAAUGGGGGGAACCCUGACCGAGCAACGCCGCGUGAGUGAAGAAGGUUUUCGGAUCGUAAAGCUCUGUUGUUAAGGAAGAACGAGUGUGAGAAUGGAAAGUUCAUACUGUGACGGUACUUAACCAGAAAGGGACGGCUAACUACGUGCCAGCAGCCGCGGUAAUACGUAGGUCCCGAGCGUUGUCCGGAUUUAUUGGGCGUAAAGCGAGCGCAGGCGGUUAGAUAAGUCUGAAGUUAAAGGCAGUGGCUCAACCAUUGUAGGCUUUGGAAACUGUUUAACUUGAGUGCAGAAGGGGAGAGUGGAAUUCCAUGUGUAGCGGUGAAAUGCGUAGAUAUAUGGAGGAACACCGGUGGCGAAAGCGGCUCUCUGGUCUGUAACUGACGCUGAGGCUCGAAAGCGUGGGGAGCGAACAGGAUUAGAUACCCUGGUAGUCCACGCCGUAAACGAUGAGUGCUAGGUGUUAGGUCCUUUCCGGGACUUAGUGCCGCAGCUAACGCAUUAAGCACUCCGCCUGGGGAGUACGACCGCAAGGUUG